rnacentral:rRNA from 1 species
UGGGGAAUAUUGCACAAUGGGGGAAACCCUGAUGCAGCGACGCCGCGUGAACGAAGAAGGUAUUCGUAUCGUAAAGUUCUGUCCUAUGGGAAGAUAAUGACAGUACCAUAGAAGAAAGCUCCGGCUAAAUACGUGCCAGCAGCCGCGGUAAUACGUAUGGAGCGAGCGUUGUCCGGAAUUAUUGGGCGUAAAGGGUACGCAGGCGGUUUAAUAAGUCGAAUGUUAAAGAUCGGGGCUCAACCCCGCAAAGCAUUGGAAACUGAUAAACUUGAGUAGUGGAGAGGAAAGUGGAAUUCCUGUUGUAGUGGUGAAAUACGUAGAUAUUAGGAGGAAUACCAGUAGCGAAGGCGACUUUCUGGACACAAACUGACGCUGAGGUACGAAAGCGUGGGGAGCAAACAGG